GAAGCCGUUGAUUUUCUUCUCCUGACAUAGUUGUAAGAAGCCUAGAUGCGGAUAAAGUUGACCAAGAAACUGUAAACGUGGCAAGAAAUAAACCGAUCGGGCCUCUCAAAGUUGUAAAAACACCUAAACCAGCAAGGACUACUACAGGAUAUACAUCAAAAUACACGAUGUUACAGCUAAACCAUAAACAUAACCGAAAUGUGCUUUUGAACCAGCUAAUAAGAGAAACGCGGCGAGCAUUAAACAAAAUGCUACUGGCCCAGCUAAAUCUGAAUCCUGAAGAUCGAUGCCCAAUUCUUCUAACAGAGGUGGUUCUUCUUCUUCGUCUACAAAUCCAGCUGAUCCUAAAAUGUUUGUGUCAAACGUAAUAAACAGUUAUUUAAACCGACAUAAAAUAUUGAUUUCUCUAAGAUUAUCUUAAUUGAAAUCUGUUUUAAAACUAUUUUUACGGAGCAAGCGUGGUGAAAGUGGCAAACCGUGUGUCAAAAUAUACGUAUACAGGGUGUUCAAAAGAAGAUUGAUAGAAAUUUAAAGAGUAGUUCUACGAAGUCGAAAUAAGAUAAACAUGAAGAGCAAAAAUAUUAUGUUUGGGUUACAACCAUUGGAACAUUCUGUUUGUUGCAAGGAGUAAUGCAUUGCAUAUACAUAAUAACACAUAUCCAGUUGACACGUAUUUCACUCACCUCUUUUAUUCUGACUAAUUAAAAUUAGCUAUUUUUUUCUAUUUAUAUUAAUAUU